GCCGACAGUCGUGUUUACAGAUUUCCCAGUUAAGUUCCGUAACGUCACGUCAAAAAAGUGCAACACACGAAUUUCUACAACGUUUACUAUGUAAAGAUAAUGUAGGUAUAGUUUAUUAAAACAAGGCCUUUAGGAUAUAAUUAUAUUUAAUGUCAGUAUAUAAGCCGGAUGCUUGUUAUUGGUGGUGUAAUCAUUGGACCAAGAGACAUUGAGACAAUUACGACAUAGCAAAGAACGUGUAAAAUGACGAUUGCCACUAGGGGCCAGGGAGUUGGCAUAGACCCUCCCGACAGCCAGCAAAGUACACAGAUGCACAGUCCACCAGGUCCGCAACAACUGGCUGACACAAUGUCGGGACUUCAACUCACUGAGAAUGUGGUACAAACUGAAUGCAACAGUGAUGCUAUCACUACGGUAGAAGAUAGCAAUCAGCUUCAUGGAGAACCUGAUUUUCCUAUUUCCAAACUUAAUAUGCUUCAUGAAAAGAUAUCUAGUCCACGAUGGGUUGUACCAGUUCUACCCGAACAAGAAUUAGAGUGCCUGUUACAAGCCAGUAUCGAGCUUUGUAAAAAAGGAAUUGAUGUACAAAGCGAAGCGUGUCAACGCUUUUUUCGAGAAGGUCUCACAAUCUCAUUUACCAAGAUAUUAACAGACGAUGCAGUAAACAGUUGGAAAUUAAAUAUUCACAAUUGUAUUAAUGCUAACUGUGCACGUUUGGUGGAAUUAUGUGUCCUGAAAUUAGACGAGGAUUGGUUUCCUCUUCUUGAUUUGCUGGCCAUGGUUUUUAAUCCUAGUAAUAAAUUUCACACAUUUAACGCAGUAAGAGUCUCGGAAACUGUUCCUCUUGGUAGUGAUAUUCCUGAUGAGGAACUUUACGCUCGCCCACCGCCUGAUUCACGAAGUCCUCGUGGUUGGCUAGUAGAUCUUAUAAACAGAUUUGGGAGUCUUAAUGGAUUCGAGAUUUUGCUCUCUAGAUUUCAGAGUGGACGUAAUUUAACAGUGCCAGUUAUUUAUGCUUUAAUCAGACCUUUCGGCUUGUGCUAUGAAUUAUUAACUGUUCACACAAUAGUUAAAUAUCUGAUGCCUAUUGUUGAAAUGGUACCUCUUAUUUUGAAUAACUUAACGGACGAUGAGUUGAAGAAAGAGGCAAAAAACGAAUCAAAAAACGAUGCAAUAUCAGCCAUAAUCAAAGCUGCUAAAUGCUUGGUGUCGCGCGUACCUCAUCAGGAAGAGAUGAUAAAGAACUUGGAAAUACUGAGACUGAAAAUGAUAUUGAGACUCUUACAAAUUUCUUCGUUCAAUGGGAAGAUGAAUGCUUUAAAUGAAGUUAAUAAAGUAAUAUCUAGUGUUAGUUAUCACCAACACCGUAAUACAAUAGUAGAGGAAGAGGAGUGGCUUACAGCGGAGCGUAUGGCGAAAUGGAUUAAGGACAAUGGGGUGCUGGAAAUUGUACUGAGAGAUUCCUUGCAUCAACCGCAAUAUGUAGAGAAGCUGGAGAAGAUUUUACGCUUUAUUAUAAAAGAACGUGCACUUACAUUAGAGGACUUAGAUGCUGUCUGGGCGGCGCAGGCUGGUAAACACGAAGCAAUUGUGAAGAACGUUCACGACCUGUUAGCCAAAUUAGCUUGGGAUUUUAGUCCGGAACAACUUGAUCAUCUAUUCGAAUGUUUUCAGACAAGUUGGAGGACUGCCAAUAAGAAACAACGGGAGAAGUUAUUAGAAUUGAUUAGGAGACUCGCAGAAGAUGAUAAAGACGGCGUUAUGGCACAUAAGGUAUUGACACUUUUCUGGACUUUGGCUCAUUCGGAUGAAGUCCCUACGGAAAUUAUGGAUCAGGCGUUAAAUGCUCAUGUGAAAAUUCUUGAUUACUCGUGCUCACAAGAAAGAGAUGCGCAAAAGACAAUCUGGCUGGAUAAGUGCGUUGAAGAGUUGAAGAAUGGUGAUAAGUGGGCUCUUCCUGCGUUGAAGCAAAUUCGUGAAAUAUGUUGCCUUUAUGAACCAAAUCCCAACUUAAGUCAUAGUCAGCGUAGCCAUCAUUUGCAUUACAGGCAAGAAGUAAUAGAACGUCUACAAAGCGAACACUCAGUAGUAAUACUUGUAACAAAUAGUUUAACAAAUUAUAUGGAUAAAGUGCGGCAAUUGGUGAAAGAAAACCCUGAAAUUGAUGCAAAUACUUUUAUGCCUGACGGUCGAUACAAUCAUAUUAUACAGGUUCAAGAAAGAUUGAACUUCCUGCGUUUCUUACUGAAGGAUGGACAAUUAUGGUUGUGCGCCGAACAAGCACAGCAAAUUUGGCAAUGUUUAGCUGAGCAAGGUGUGUUUGUUUCGGAUCGCGAGGCGUGCUUCAAGUGGUUCUCCAAACUCAUGGGAGACGAACCAGAUCUGGAUCCAGCAAUAAACAAAGAUUUCUUUCAAAACAAUAUAUUACAACUAGAUCCGACAUUGCUUACGGAAAGCGGUAUUAAGUGUUACGAAAGAUUUUUUAAAGCUGUUAAUUCUAAGGAAGGAAAAUUGAAGCUGAAACGCAGAACCUUUCUCAUGGAUGACGUGGAUUUAAUUGGCACUGAUUAUUUGUGGAGAGUGGUGACAAACAGCCCGGAGGAAAUUGCAAACAGAGGCAUAGAGCUCUUGAAGGAGGUGAACACCAAUUUAGGACCGCGACUGCAAUCAUCCGUUUUGGCAUUUCACGAAACGUAUAUAGCGGAAUGUAUGGACAGACUGAAAGCUCAUUAUGACACCGUGACCGUCUUGAGCAGAGUGUACUUGGACGGGAAGGAGGAGCGCGAAGAACAAAUGACAAAUAAGAUUAAAAUGGAAGCUAUAAAAAUGUGCCGCGUUAUGAAAGUUUUACAGGAAUAUAUAAACGAGUGCGAUACAGCUUUUCCAGGAGAACGGAAAAUAUUACCGCUACAUAGAGCGGCUCGUGGCAAACACCUAUCACUCGUCAUUCGUUUCGCGAGUCCUGGUCGAAAUGUUGACGACAUAGAUAUCUUCACUCAUAGCAACGACACAUUAGCUUCACUGAGACGUCAAAUAUUACGCAGGAUUAAAGCGAGCGGGACAAAUGUAAAACUGGAUUUAUUUAUUAAUGGAGAAUCGUUAGAACAGGCUGACGAUAGAAAGCUUCUUUCUCAGAUUCCACUGAGAGACAAAAUGUUGUUAUCUGCAAAGCUCAGUCAAGUAAAUAGCAAUAUGCCAAGCUCACCGGACAGCAGUUCUGAUAGCUCUACUAGUUCUCCACAUCAUCCGUAUGAUGGGCCGAAUGUAGAAGCAGAAAACAGUUUGCCCGGCGUGGUGAUGUCGCAGAGAUCGCAGUAUGCGACAUUUUUCUUUCAAUUGGCAGAUCUCGGCUGCACCCUUCAACACUCACAAUUGCGUGACGGUGCACGAAAUCUUCUGCAAUUGGUGCCGCCAGAUAUUCUCACUGUAACAAGACUACAGUGGUUAUUUGGCCACUACAAAGACGAUGAAACUUUACAGAACCCCUCUCAAUAUCACUGUAACGAGCAAAAUACGACAGUAGAUUCUCUAUUUUUUACUGCAAGUCCUAGCCAAGUUUUAUACAAUUUAGAGGUGUUAUACACUUUGUUAAUGCCUGCUCUCGAUCCUAUGUCCGAGAGAGCAUUUGAAUUUCAAUAUAAUUUCAUAAAAAGUGGCGAAGCGGGCGUUAUUCUCGACAUGUUAACCAAAAACAAGUUUCUACCAAAUGCGGACGAAACUACGAAGCGGUCUGCGUAUCUCACAGUGCUGAGACUGUGCAAGUUACUGCUGACAGUGAUGGGUAACGUGAUGGCAUGCGUGCUGGACGAGGUACAGCAGACUGGCACUCCGGAGAAUCACGACAACCACGUCAACAACCGUGGUCGUAUCGCGGUGCUGAAGCAAGCUCUCCAAAGUGUGCCGAAUCAGAGCACCGAGUACAUGCUGAGAAACGUGGCGGCUAAACUGGCGCAGCAUCUCGCGCACCGAAUGAUCUCCGGCGGGCCAGAGGCCGACCGAUGUCGGCAGCUUUUCGUCCAGGCCCUAUCGUGGGAAUUACCGGAUGUGGCUACUAUACGUGCCAUAAUUAGACUAGCAUGGGCCGCAUCCACCGGUAACUUGAGCAACAUUAACGCGUCGAACGAGGCCCUUCACUCGAUACACGAGGCGAACCAGAAGGAGCAGAGAAACCCCGAUAAUAACGACGUUCUCGUGUGCAAAGAGGCACUCGAAGUGCUAACGAUCGCCCUCGUGCUGAACCCGUCAGCGUUGGAAACAUUGUCGAGGGACAAGAUAUGGCACACUUUCUUGAUAGACCUCGUCCUACUCAGCACAUCGAGGGCCAUCAGAAUCGCCGCUGGCGAGCAAUUUUUUCUCAUGUCAACAUGGUGCAGUGGCGGACACCAAACGCUGUCGGUCACCAUCACCCUCCUCUUCACCGUGCUGAACACCACCGUGAUGGAAAACGCGAAGCAGAGCCACGAAUACUUUCAGCUUCUGUGCCGGCUGCUGAACUUUGCCCAUAUAUCGAAUUGCCCCCUGACGACCGCGGAGACGCUGUUAAACGUGGAAAUUGCCUGGCUGAAGAAGGUCCGGGACAACGUGAAGGAGACCGGGGAGAGUCAGGUGGACGAAGCCUUGCUCGAGGGCCACCUCGGUCUGACGAAGGAGCUGCUCGCCUUCCUGCCGCCGAAUCAGAAGUACGAAAUCGGCUCCGACGAGAAGCACGGUGUCAACUUGAUCAAGGAGCUUGUCGAGGACUUCGUGUUCCCCGCGUCCCGCCUCAUGCUGCAGCUUCGCAGCACCGGCGAACUGAGCGCCUCGCAAGCGUGUCCAGUCUGCACCACUCCUCAAUCAACUAGCGCCGCCUUCGAUUUACUCGUAGGUCUCUGCGUAGGCUGUGUACCCAACAUGAAACUUCUAGUCACAAUGCUCACCGAUAUGUUCUACUCCGAGAAAGACGAGCCAUUAGUAGAGUGGGACUACCUACCGCCUGUGGGGCUCAGACCGCUUAAAGGCUUCGUAGGCUUGAAGAAUGCAGGCGCGACCUGCUACAUGAAUUCAGUAUUACAGCAGUUGUACAUGGUGGAGAGCAUUAGAGUCGGUCUUCUGGCGGCGGAAGGCGCGGCGACUGACUUGAACGAGGAUUUCUCGGGUGAGGAGAGGAUCGAGGGGGAGCAGACGAUCGAAACCAACGAUAACGACACGAACGAGGAAAAGUGCGGCGCCGAUGAGUCCAGGAAGGAGUACAAUAUCGGUAUUCUAAAGCAAGUGCAAGCAAUAUUCGGUCAUCUCGCCUACAGCAAGUUACAAUAUUACAUACCCAGAGGAUUGUGGAAGCAUUUCAAGCUUCAAGGAGAACCUGUAAAUCUUAGGGAACAACAAGACGCGGUGGAAUUCUUCAUGAGCUUGGUUGAGAGCCUGGACGAGGCGUUGAAAGCCUUGGGCCACGAGCAGAUAAUGGGCAAGAUUCUUGGUGGCUCGUAUAGCGACCAAAAAAUCUGCAAAGGUUGCCCUCAUAGAUAUUCCAAAGAGGAGCCGUUCAGCGUGAUAAGCGUGGACAUACGAAAUCACAGUAAUUUGUUGGACUCACUUGAGCAAUAUGUAAAGGGUGAAUUGCUGGAAGGCGCAGACGCCUACCAUUGUGACAAGUGCAACAAAAAAGUCGUAACAGUAAAGAGGUUGUGCGUAAAAAAGCUGCCACCCAUUUUAGCGAUUCAGUUGAAAAGGUUUGAGUACGAUUUUGAACGUGUGUGUGCUAUAAAAUUCAAUGAUUAUUUCGAGUUCCCACGAGAUUUGGACAUGGAACCUUACACCGUUUCCGGCUUGGCCAAACUAGAGGGAGAAGUCAUAGAUUGCGAUUAUGAAGAAGCUGUGAAAGGAACGUGCACCAAAUAUCAAUUAACUGGUAUAGUGGUUCACAGCGGCCAGGCUAGCGGCGGACAUUACUACUCCUACAUCCUGCACAGGUUAAACGAUGGUACUGCUAAGUGGUACAAAUUUGACGACGGCGACGUAACAGAAUGUAAAAUGGAAGAAGAAGAGGAAAUGAAAUCUCAGUGCUUCGGCGGUGAUUAUUUAGGCGAGGUAUUCGAUCAUAUGCUCAAGCGGAUGAGUUACCGCAAACAGAAGCGGUGGUGGAAUGCGUACAUGUUAUUUUAUACGAGAUUAGAUGUAGAAGAAAAUUCCCUAAUGAAAAGUGUAAAUGAAUUGUCAUUGUAUACGAAAUUAGGAGUUAUGAAAAUGCCACCAGCGAUAGAAUACAGCGUGCGAAAGCAAAACAUAAAAUUUAUGCACAACCGAAAUCAAUUUAGCGCUGAAUACUUCCAGUUCAUCAAGAAAUUGGUGUCCUGCAAUCCGCAUAACAUCAACAGACAAAAUCUGAAUGAGAAACUUAGUCCCGAAGCGGAAGAACUUGCGAUGCUGUCGCUUCAGUUAGUGUCGAGAUUUCUCUUCUACACAGGUUUCCAUACCAAGAAAACAUUACGUGGCACUGCGACGGACUGGUACGACAUAGUGUGCCAUCACUUGCGUAGCAGCAAAGUAGUGCGUUCUUGGUUCGCAAAUGAAGUGUUGUUCAAUCAUCCACACAGAUUUUGCGAGUAUCUUUUGAGCUGUCCCAGUACAGAAGUACGUACUGCGUUCCUUAAAAUUUUGGUAUUCCUUGCACACGUUUCCUUGCAAGAUGGUCCCUGCGCUCCGCCCAGCCUGAAUGCACCAACUAUACUUUUGGAUCCAGUAGCGACGCUCAGUGAUCACUUGUUACACGCGGUAUUGUCGCUGCUGCACCGCGAAAUUUCGGAUCACGGACGUCAUCUUCCUCAUUACUUUUCCCUCUUUCACGCAUACGCUUCACUGGGUCUUGCUGAAAAGGCGCAGUUGCUUAAGCUAAAUGUACCCGUUACGUUCAUGUUGGUCGCCAUCGACGAAGGUCCAGGCCCUACCAUAAAAUAUCAAUAUCCCGAAUUGACUAAAUUGCACCAGGUAGUUAGCAUGUUGAUACGAUGCUGCGACGUGUCGUCAAGGGCACAUUCGAGCCACACGCAGCCCCGUGCGGAACCCUUGCCGAAUCCGUACGGAGAUCCUGCCUGCCAGUCGGAGUAUAUCAUGCCCAUCCCGUCGCAAGCAGCUGAUAUACUGUUUAUUCGCACUAGUUAUAUUAAAAAACUGAUCGAGGACGCUAAUGUGACUGAGGAUACAGUUAAAUUACUGCAAUACUGCUGUUGGGAGAAUCCACAUUUAUCACGAACUGUGCUUAGUGAAUUGUUAUGGCAAAUUGGAUUCGCUUAUACACAUGAAUUGAGGCAUCAUACAGAUUUGCUGCUUGCGAUCUUAUUAAUGGAGGAUUCGUGGCAGACGCACCGUGUGCACAACGCACUCAGGGGAGUUCCAGACGAACGAGAAGGUUUAUUCGAAACAAUACAAAGGAGUAAGAAUCAUUAUCAAAAGAGGGCUUAUCAGUGUAUCAAAUGUAUGGUGCAGCUCUUUAGCAAGUGCAAACCUGCGCAUCAGCUUUUAUAUCACAGUCCAGAAUUGAAAAGAAAAUGGAGUCACGCAAUAGAUUGGCUCCACGACGAACUUGACAAAAGACCCUAUGCAUCCACGGCGCCUUAUACACACGCAUAUAACAAUUGGUCUCCGCCGGCACAGUCUAAUGAUUCUGCGAACGGAUAUGUCUUGGAGCGCAGCAACAGCGCGAGAAAGACAUUGGAGCGGGCAUGCGAACUAUGUCCGGACGAAGAGCCAGAAGUCGAAGAUACGAGUGAAGAUUGCGCGGAAGAAGCAGAGAAAUAUCAGCAUUCAUCCAAGUAUCAGUCGUCCAAUACAUCCAAAUAUCAAUCUUCAUUCCGGACUAAAAGGCGCAAUAACAGAGGCACAUUAGGGUGGGCAUCUAUAGAUUACCCCGAUUUUACCGUAAUCCAACAAAUGCAAGAGGAGCAGCAGCCUCAACCAGGACCUUCUCCGGUACACACGCCCCACUUAGCUCUUCAAAUGCAUAACCCGCAGAACUGUGAGUCGUCACAAAAUACCAGCCAGGAUCCAUAAUGAACGCUGAACACUGACGUUCUGCCAAGUUGUUGCCUCAGUGAAACGAUUUCGGAAUACUUAGAUGUUACUGUGCCAGCAGCUUGGUGCCGAGCGGUAGCAGCACAUGUACAGAUAUAACAACCAAAUUAAAAAAUCAAAAUAGAAAUCAUGAUUGAUACAUAUUCAAGUAGAAAAUAUCAAUAAUAUAGUAAACGAGGAAAGGAGCUGAAAAGGACAGUGAACGUGUUAAGGUACACGGCAUGUGACGCUAUUGAGACCUAAAAAUAUAAAAGAGAAAUCAUGAAAUUGACGCAAACAACACAAAUGUCUGAUACAAAUAUCGUAAAGACACCAAAGAAGAUAUCCUCAUUUUUUGGACGUUUUUCAAUGGACCUUUAACCAAUUUUGGAGUUCUGCGUUGCGAGAAUAUAAAAGAGAUUGAUGCACCGAAUAUCUUCCGGUUAUUUUCGAAGUCAUUCUCAUCUCCCGUUCGAGUUGCUUGCAGCUGGGGGACGAGAAGAAUAUAAAAUUUGAAAAAAAUCUGGAAGAAAUUGCUAAUUUUUACACGCGGCGCAACUCGAUUGUUGUAUAUUUGCUGCAACAAAUACACAAGACUUUCCAAAGCGAUUUGCAGCAGAUCUAGAAAGCAGGAUCGGAAAGAAUAUCGCAAGCGUAAAAGUUUUUAUUUACACGUUUCGAACGAUUCGAACGACUAUUGCAAACGUUGCUUUAAAAUGACUAACAAUUGCUUGAUUUUAUUUUAAUAAUCCCAUAAUUUAAAUGUGCAAGUAUCGUUUACGCGAUAAUUGUAUGUGUGUAUGUGUGCGUGUGCGUACGUGCGUGCGUGCGUGUGCGUGUGUGUGUGUUCGUGCUUGCGAUACUUUUGCCGGAUCCUCAUCGAUUCUCGUCAGAAAUCACCAGGUGUUUCGCGGUAAAACAUAACGACGGCGCGUUAACGCGUUCCGGACGAAGAAAUUACGAGGCUCACGUAAAAUUGUCGCUCAUGAUCUCCUCCAAAGGCUCGUUCCGGCGCUCCAUGAAGAGCGGGAUAAAGGAUACUGACCGAAUAAGACUAAACACUUGGAAGACAUCUGGAAAACGUCUGACGGACGCGCAACACUAUUAGGAUUUGAUUCUCAAACAUAUUAGUAUUUAAUAGCCCCGAAAAUAUUAGAAGAGACUAGAAAUUGUCGAGCAAGAGGUAGGAUAUUAUUUUAGUCUUUUAGACGUGUUGCUGAUGCCUUCUCUAGCUUUGCGCUGUUUCGAAGAAAGGGAAAAGCGAGGAUGUAUAACGAGAUUUAGAGAUUUGUCGCUGAUGUGACUAGAACCCGAGUAAAAAAAAAGGACAAGAAGCGCUCAGGUCGCCCCUUAUGCGCUACAUAUCCGGUCGAAUGGCGCAUUUAUGCAGGCAUUUUUCAUUUAAAACUUCGUCGUCGGACUCGUAACCAACUUGCCAACCGAUCCUGCGACCCUUCUCACACCGCCGACCCGCGCGAUUAUUUAUGGUCCCUCGCAGACUUUCGAUAUACAUAUUAUACAUAUAUAUAUAUAUAAAUAUAAGUAUAAUUAUAAUUAAGAUUGUAUAUUCUUAAUUAGAUGCAACGUGUUGGCGUGUGCGCGCGUGGUCGCUGGGUGACUUGAGAUAAAAAGAAAAAAAAAGAUGCACACACACACACACGCGAUCACAAAACACAUACCAAGGACACAUGUAUACACACGAAAUGCAGACACAUACGGGGGGGGUUGCGGGCGACGGUUUGCCAAUUUUCGCGGGGGGCUUUCACUUACGAACGGGCGACACCCGCACGUUUUGCGUGUAUCCGCAGUAAGGAGACCUCUGCCGCCUCCGGAAUCUUUUGUGUAUUAUUUCUAACAGAAUGUAAUAAAGUAAAGUUUAAACAGA
rnacentral:misc_RNA from 1 species